rnacentral:rRNA from 1 species
UACGGAGGGGGCUAGCGUUGUUCGGAAUUACUGGGCGUAAAGCGCACGUAGGCGGACCAUCAAGUUGGGGGGUGAAAUCCCGGGGCUCAACCCCGGAACUGCCUCCAAAACUGCUGGUCUGGAGGUCGAGAGAGGUGAGUGGAAUUCCGAGUGUAGAGGUGAAAUUCGUAGAUAUUCGGAGGAACACCAGUGGCGAAGGCGGCUCACUGGCUCGAUACUGACGCUGAGGUGCGAAAGCGUGGGGAGCAAACAGG